rnacentral:rRNA from 1 species
UACGUAGGGUGCGAGCGUUGUCCGGAAUUACUGGGCGUAAAGCGUGCGCAGGCGGUUUUGUAAGCCAGAUGUGAAAUCCCCGGGCUUAACCUGGGAAUGGCAUUUGGGACUGCAAGGCUGGAGUUUGGCAGAGGAGACUGGAAUUCCUGGUGUAGCAGUGAAAUGCGUAGAUAUCAGGAGGAAUACCGAUGGCGAAGGCAGGUCUCUGGGCUAUAACUGACGCUCAUGCACGAAAGCGUGGGGAGCAAACAGG